AUGCAAAUGAACAACAGACCGAGAAUAACGGUUUUGAAAAUGGAGAUUCAUGAUCCACCAUUCAAUUCAGAGCGAGAGAUAGAUAAUGUAGAAGAAUUUAGGUUUUCAUUUCUUUGUUUUCAACGAAACAAUUCCCGUUAUAGACCGUGAAUAUCACAACACAUCAACUCGUAUGUAAUUUUUCCUAACAAUCUGCUUCCUUAAAUUGUAUCAAUUAUUCUGUAAUCGUUUAGUUAUUAUGUUUGAUUUUAGUCUGAUUUUGUAUGUGUGAGCUAGCUAGCGCUUAUGUGUUUGAUUUUGGAUUUUUAGGGUUUGUUUAUGCGGACGAAAAUUGAGUUUUUCAGAAACUUGAAAAUAAUAAUUAAUUAGUGUUAUUGCGUACAUAUUUUGGAAUUAAGGCGUUACGUUAUUAAGAUAAUUGAAAUAGGUUUGCAAUGUGAGGGUUAUUGACAUCAUCAUUUGAUGCAUGGGUGCUCAUCAAAUGUGAAAUGAGGCAACUCAACGCUGAAUAUCUCAUGUUUGAUUUUCGGGUUCAGUGGUACAAUUUUUAGGGGUUUUGGACAUGUUUUAGGCUUGUUUAGGGCUAGUUUAGCUGUUUAGGUUGAUUUCAGGUUUGCUUUGGGCUGGUAUAAUUGUUUCAGAUGGUUUUCGGCCGAAAUGUGGCUUGAAACAUGUGCCCGAGGGCCUGAAAGUUGGGCUUUUGAAGCGAAGCGAGAAGGCUGCCCUUGGCCUAAAAAGUGGGCCCUAGGCUCUCACCUGGGUGAGCCUUGACAAUAGAGUCCACGACCUAAUGUGUCAAGGGUUACAUUUUGUUCUGUGCAUUUGCAGAAGAAAUUUUGCAUAAAAGACUUGUUAGGAUUUAUUAGCAAGAGUUGUGAAAGACACUUGUUGUUAAAACCCUUGAUCAGUAGUUAGCAACCUAUGAGCUCGUUUUGGCUGGAGUUUGCGUAAAUUAGAAUCAGAUUGGUAUUUGGGUGCCAUGAAUGAUGUUUUGACAAUUGGGUGGUCUUAGGUAAACAUUCUCAAUAAUUGGUGUCUCUGUUUGGGUUUUGUAUAUGUAGGCUUGCCUUUUUUUUCUUUGUUUUUUUUUUUCCUUUUCAGGGUUGCUUCUUGGCUAUUAGUUAGCUGUUUUGAAGUUUGUGGUUAUGAUAAGGUAAUGGGCAAUGGAAUUGAGGAUGAAGAUAAGACCCCACCGUCAGCUAGAUCUCGAUUACCAGGAGUAACGGUUGGAGUAGCUCCCUCUUUUAGAAGUGCUGAACGUGCUGAGAAACGUAAGGAGUUCCAUAUGAAGCUAGAGCAAAAGAACCAAGCUUUGGAAGCAGAGAAGAUGGAAUGCCAAAUGAGGGCCAUGGAAGAGGAAGAAGCAGCUAUAAAGGAGCUCCGAAAGGGCAUGGUUGUAAAAGCACAUACUGUUCCAAGUUUUUACUAUGAAGAACCUCCACCCAAGUUUGAACCUAAAAAGAUGCCUGUGACCCGUGCCAAAUCACCCAACUUAACCCGGGGAAGGAGCUGCAAUGGUACACGCCAUUUAUCCAUGGAUGGCAGGGGCCCGUCUUCACGGGCUACACCUCUCAAGGGACGGCGUAGUAUUACUCCAAAUCCCAAGAGGAAUAAGUAAUCACAAAGUAAGAAUUGCCCAAAACGGGCCGACGAGGCUCGACCAUAAACUAUAUCUUGUAACUCAACCGCGAACAGCAAUACAAAUGUUGUUGUUAACUCAUGAAUUUAGUCUUUAGUUUUGUUGUACUUCCAUUAGAAGUAGUUGUGUACAGAGUUUUCAACUUUUGAUUAUAAGUUCAUGUACGUUGCAUAUAAGUUUUUUUUUUUUGGUAUAUAACUAUUACUUUCUU
rnacentral:lncRNA from 1 species